rnacentral:ribozyme from 13 species
AAAAAAAAAAGAGAAUGAAAUAAAAAAUGUGGUGGUUGGGUUGUUACCUGUGUCAUCACUCUCUCCAUUUCUUCUCUCUUCUCUUUCAC